rnacentral:rRNA from 1 species
UGUGGGGUGACCGCGUACCUCUUGCAUAAUGGGUCAGUGACUUAAUUUAUCUAGCAAGCUUAAGCCGUUAGGUGUAGGCGCAGCGAAAGCGAGUCUGAAUAGGGCGAAUGAGUUUGUUGGAUUAGACCCGAACCCCGGCGAUCUAGGCAUGACCAGGCUGAAGGUGCGGUAACACGCACUGGAGGACCGAACCCACGUCUGUUGAAAAAGACGGGGAUGACCUGUGGCUAGGGGUGAAAGGCCAAUCAAACUCGGAGAUAGCUGGUUCUCCGCGAAAUCUAUUUAGGUAGAGCGUCUCGUAUUACCUUCGGGGGUAGAGCACUGGAUGGGCUAGGGGGUCCCAACGACUUACCAAACCU